GUCGAGGUGGUGGAACUGGUAGACACGCUGUCUUGAGGGGGCAGUGGCUAUGCCGUGCGGGUUCAAGUCCCGCCCUCGACA
rfam:Desulfovibrio sp. An276 An276_contig_29, whole genome shotgun sequence.